UACGAAGGGGGCUAGCGUUGUUCGGAAUUACUGGGCGUAAAGCGCACGUAGGCGGAUUUGUAAGUCAGGGGUGAAAUCCCGGGGCUCAACCUCGGAACUGCCUUUGAUACUGCAAGUCUCGAGUCCGAUAGAGGUGAGUGGAAUUCCUAGUGUAGAGGUGAAAUUCGUAGAUAUUAGGAAGAACACCAGUGGCGAAGGCGGCUCACUGGAGCGGUACUGACGCUGAGGUGCGAAAGCGUGGGGAGCAAACAGG
rnacentral:rRNA from 1 species